rnacentral:rRNA from 1 species
AGUUUGAUCAUGGCUCAGAUUGAACGCUGGCGGCAUGCCUUACACAUGCAAGUCGAACGGUAACGGGCCUUCGGGUGCCGACGAGUGGCGAACGGGUGAGUAAUGCAUCGGAACGUACCUUCAGUGGGGGAUAACGUAGCGAAAGUUACGCUGAUACCGCAUAUUCUGUGAGCAGGAAAGCAGGGGAUCGCAAGACCUUGCGCUGAUUGAGCGGCCGAUGUCAGAUUAGCUAGUUGGUGAGGUAAAGGCUCACCAAGGCGACGAUCUGUAGCGGGUCUGAGAGGAUGAUCCGCCACACUGGAACUGAGACACGGUCCAGACUCCUACGGGAGGCAGCAGUGGGGAAUUUUGGACAAUGGGGGCAACCCUGAUCCAGCCAUGCCGCGUGAGUGAAGAAGGCCUUCGGGUUGUAAAGCUCUUUCGGCCGGGAAGAAAUCGCAUGGGUUAAUACCCUGUGCGGAUGACGGUACCGGCAUAAGAAGCACCGGCUAACUACGUG